UUUUGAUGCCAAAUACAACCCAAAUCAAAUUCUGUGAAUAAACAGACCAAAACCUACAUCCAAAAUCAAACACUUCUACUGUGUUUUCCGAUUCAAAAUGCCUAAUUUCGAUGCCAAACCCAACCCAAAUCAAAUUUUGGGAAUAAACCGACUGAAACCAUCUCUAAAAUCAAUCACUUAUCCAGUUCUCCGAUUAAACAAGCCUAACUUUGACCUCAAACAAAAAACCCAAAUCAAUUUUUAUGAAUAAACACUAGAACAACCAAAACACCCACAUCUAAAAUCAAACACUUCCCCAGUUCCUAAAUUCCCCAAUUUCCCAAUACCAAAACGCCUAAUUUUGACCUCAAACAAAAAACCCAAAUCAAUUUUUAUGAAUAAACACUAGAACAACCAAAACACCCACAUCUAAAAUCAAACACUUCCCCAGUUCCUAAAUUCCCCAAUUUCCCAAUACCAAAACGCCUAAU
rnacentral:misc_RNA from 1 species